rnacentral:sRNA from 1 species
CAUUACCGAGUUUACAACUCCCAAACCCAUUGUGAACUUAUACCCAAAACGUUGCCUCGGCGGACACAGCGGUACCCGAGCCCCCGCAAGGGAGCAAAGGCGCCCCGUCCGCCAGGGGACCAAAACUCUUCUGUAUACCCAUAGCGGCAUGUCUGAGUGGAUUUAAAAACAAAUGAAUCAAAACUUUCAACAACGGAUCUCUUGGUUCUGGCAUCGAUGAAGAACGCAGCGAAAUGCGAUACGUAAUGUGAAUUGCAGACUUCAGUGAAUCAUCGAAUCUUUGAACGCACAUUGCGCCCGCCAGUAUUCUGGCGGGCAUGCCUGUUCGAGCGUCAUUUCAACCCUCAAGCCCUGCUUGGUGUUGGGGACCGGCUCAGCGGGUGCGGGCUUCGGCCCGCCCCGUGCCGCCCCCGAAAUGGAUCGGCGGUCUCGUCGCAGCCUUCUUUGCGUAGUAACAUACCACCUCGCAACAGGAGCGCGGCGCGGCCACUGCCGUAAAACGCCCAACUUUUUAGAGUUGACCUCGAAUCA